ACAGGACAGCAGGAAACUCGUCUCCUCUCCUCCCUAACGGCUCCUUCCUGCUCCGACUGGCUGCUGCAUUCAAACAUAAAUUAAGUAAACACCUUCUCUGUUCAGACUGAGGAGUUUGAGCUUCAGGUUCGGCCCAAACGUUGUCUGGACUCGACCCGGCAGACCAGCGGAUCAACUCUGAUCACAGUCAGACCUUAUGAAUCAGUUAGAACCUGUUCUGCUGCCUAAAGACUCUGACUCCACGUAAAACAGCACAUCUACAACCAGGAUUGUUUUCUAUAUCUCAAAAUAAUCUGAUAUUUAAAUCAAGAUUUUAAAAUCUGCGGCGUUGUGACAUCUACACUGCAACACUGAGCAAAUCUACGACAGUUUUUCACUUUUAUAUCCUGAGAAGGACUUAACAGAUAAUUUACAGUAUUUAUGUAUUUCACUGCGGUUCUAUUAUCAAUUUCAGCUAAAAUAUGAAAACAUUUACAGUAUAAACAAAAUUAAAAAACUGUAAUUCUGUCUGUAGUUAACUGGCUAAAGGGAACAAGGCGUUAUGUGUUAAAUAACCGUCCAAGCAGUAAAGAGCUGCUAAGAAUGUUGUAGUGUUAAAAACAGUUAGAUCUGGAAACUUUGACUUUAAACUGUUUUGGGUGCGUAACAGAGAAACCUGAGUUUUCCUGGAGGAGUCGGUGCAGGAGGUUUGACAGCUCAGCAGCAGAGGACUGGUGACGGCGGCACAGCUGAGCCGGAAAUAAACUGGCGGCCAUCAAUCAAAACGUCUGUGUUCCCAAAAACCCCAAACAAACUCCAACUGGGCCGGGUCAUUUUUCUUCUUCAUGUAAUAUCUGCAGCAGUCUCGCUGAGGACGCUUUGAUUUCCCAUCGCUCAGCCAGUUGACAUUUAUUCCACAAACACUUGACAUUUGAAAAUUGUCUUCCUGUGUGAGGAACCUGCAGCCCCCUCUGCGCAGCGCCGUCCCGCCGGCCGGCCUUUGUACCGAGCAGCUGGACGAUGUCAGUGAAAGAUGGAUCUCAGAUGAAAAGAGAAGCCUCUCCGCCUGAACUGGACCCGGAGUUCGUCCUCUCCUGCUGUAAAGUCUCACCGUUUUCUCAGACUUUCACAGCUUGGCAUGUCGUUUUUCCACACCUGCACUGCCCUCCUCCACCCUGCAGGCCCUGAUUUCCAUCAGAAACAUUAUGUACCGGCAGGGUAGCGCUGUGUUCUGCGUUGAGCUCGGAUCAGCGCCGGUUCCCUCACAGCUGUGAGUGGAAGGAGGAGGAGGAGACCCUGCUGGUCAUGAUGAGUUCAAACCACAGCCUGAGCUUCUGGUCGGCCGCUUCAUUUGCAUGUCAAUGAGGAAUCUCAGCGUUCAGCGGCGGCGGCGAAACGCUCGACACCGGAACGGAUGAUUCUGAUCCGGAAACAUCUGCAACAAUGGCAGAAAGAGCAAACCUCAAAACAUUUGAUCUUUUCAGAUGUUCUCCUCCCAACAGCAUCGUGUUUCACUGACUGAUAAUAAAGAGCAGCUAUAAAGCAGACAUAAUACACAUAAUUCACAUAAUACACAUAAUACACAGUUUGUACGUCUGUUUGGGUUUCAACAUUUUUGAAAAACAAACCGCUGGACAAAGGGGAAAAAACCACAGGCUGUCUUUUACCAAUAAGUUUUAUGGUGUCUGGAAAAUAAGCAGUUUUAAAAACCUCUGAAAUGACCUGUUACCUAGCAACCCCACCCUGUUACCUAGCAACCCAAACUGAGUUCCAGCCUGG